UCAGAACGAACGUUGGCGGCGUGGAUUAGGCAUGCAAGUCGAACGCGAAAGGUCACCUUCGGGUGAACGAGUAGAGUGGCGAACUGGUGAGUAACAGGUGGGUAAUGUGCCUCUUAGUGUGGGAUAACCUCUGGAAACAGUGGCUAAUACCUCAUGUGGCACGGAUAACGUUGGUUAACCGUGUUAAAGACUUCGGUCGCUAAGAGAGCAGCCCGCCCCCGAUUAGCUUGUUGGUAGGGUGACGGCCUACCAAGGCUCCGAUCGGUAGGUGGCCUGAGAGGGUGGUCACUCACACUGGGACUGAGAUACGGCCCAGACUCCUACGGGGGGCAGCAGUCUAGAAGCUUCCAUAAUGGACGAAAGUCUGAUGGAGCGACGCCGCGUGUGGGAUGACAGCCGUGAGGUUGUAAACCACUGUCAGCAGGGAAGAAUGCCUUGAUGGUGAAUCAGGGAGAGACGGUACCUGCAGAGGAAGCCCCUGGGCUAACUCCGUGCCAGCAGCCGCGGCUUAAUAACGGGAAGGUGGGCAAACGUUGUUCGGAUUUACUUGGGCGUAAAGGGUGUCUAGCGCGGUUCGAUUAGGUCUGGGUGUGAAAUAUCCUCGCUCAACGAGGAAGACGCAUUGGAAACUGUCGAGCUCGAGAGUGGAAGAGGCAGGUGGAAUUCCUGGUGUACCGGUGGAAUGCGUAGAUAUCAGGAAGAACACUCGUGGCGAAGGCGGCCUGCUGGUCCAUUUCUGACGCUGAAGCACGAAAGCCAGGGGAGCGAACGGGAUUAGAUACCCCGGUAGUCCUGGCCGUAAACGUUGAACACUGGAUGUCGGGGGUAUCGACCCCCUCGGUGUCGGAGCUAACGCGUUAAGUGUUCCGCCUGGGGAGUACGACCGCAAGGUUGAAACUCAAAGGAAUUGACGGGGGCCCGCACAAGCGGUGGAGGAUGUGGUCUAAUUCGGCGCAACGCGAAGAACCUUACCUGGGCUUAAACCGCAGGGUAAACCCUCCGAAAGGAGGGCUGCUUCGGCAAUCCUGUAGAGGUGCUGCAUGGCUGUCGUCAGCUCGUGUCGUGAGAUGUUGGGUUAAGUCCCGCAACGAGCGCAACCCUUGCUCUUAGUUACCAGCGCGUAAUGGCGGGGACUCUAAGAGGACUGCCCUCGCAAGGGGGAGGAAGGUGGGGAUGACGUCAAGUCCUCAUGGCCCUUAUGUCCAGGGCUACACACGUCCUACAAUGGCCGGUACAAAGGGCUGCAAGCUCGCGAGAGUUAGCUAAUCCCAAAAAGCCGGUCCCAGUUCGGAUUGCAGUCUGCAACUCGACUGCAUGAAGGUGGAAUCGCUAGUAAUCGUGGAUCAGCAUGCCACGGUGAAUACGUUCCCGGGCCUUGUACACACCGCCCGUCACAUCACGAAAGUCGGUGGUACCGGAGUCGCUGAGCCAACCCGCAAGGGAGGCAGGCGCCGAUGGUAUG
rnacentral:rRNA from 1 species